GUUGUUUGGUACUUAAAAGAAAACUAUUAAAGCAAUGAUUCUUAAUGGUAAAGUUAAUGUAACCUUUUAGAAAGUUUUACGGAUGCCAUCAUGAUCUUAUCAACCGUUACGGCAUUGAAGAUCAGAUAUUGUACCACCUGUUCUAACCACAAUUCGGUCUUCAUUUGCUGGUUUAUAAAUUCGCUUUCUUCUUUUAACAGUUUCACGACGAAUACAUAUGUUUACCGUUCCGCAGGAACUCAUUUCUUGUCCGGCCUUUGUUGGGUUCGUGUUGUUAAAUCUUUAGCUUUAGUAGUAGUGUAGUGUUUUGACGACUAGUGUUUGUGUGCAUAAGUUAGUUAAAGAUUUUAUCUGUGCUAUGGUGUUGUCUUUUUCUCAGUUGUGUUUUUUAUUGUAUAAUUUUUUCAGCAUCUCAGUACACUCCUAGUUUUUCGUGGCGUUCGCGCUGCUAAGUAGUGUUUUGUGAACUUGUUAAGUCUUUUUGUUGUCCAUCGUUUUUGGUUUUUUUUCUUUGCCAUGACGUUGUCCGUUUCUCUCGACUUAUUAGUUUUAGAAAUCCCCUUGUUAUCUUCUGUCUUUUUUUGUGUGUACUUUUUUUCCUUUUUGAGAACUAAUCCCCCUACAUUUCUCCCAUAAUGCAGUAGAAAUACUACUGGAACCAAAUUCAUGACUUGUUCUGAUAACUAUAUGCAAAAAUGCUAUUGCAGACCAUACGGUAUGGGUAUUUCUUAUUGUUGAAGGUCGUACAGUGGCUUAUACGUGUUAACUAUCACUUCAUUAUAACUAAGGUGAAUAGUUGUCUCAUUGGUCAU
rnacentral:lncRNA from 1 species